UACGGAGGAUGCAAGCGUUAUCCGGAAUGAUUGGGCGUAAAGCGUCCGCAGGUGGCAGUGUAAGUCUGCUGUCAAAGGUCAGGGCUCAACCCUGAACAGGCAGUGGGAACUACACAGCUAGAGUGCGGUGGGGGCAGAGGGAAUUCCCAGUGUAGCGGUGAAAUGCGUAGAGAUUGGGAAGAACACCGGUGGCGAAAGCGCUCUGCUAGGCCGCAACUGACACUCAUGGACGAAAGCUAGGGGAGCGAAUGGG
rnacentral:rRNA from 1 species